rnacentral:pre_miRNA from 1 species
GGCCUCCAUCUUUGGGGUGAUCGAUUGUGGGGCUCCACGAUUGAUCACCCGCAGAGGGAGGCC